rnacentral:rRNA from 1 species
UACAGAGGGUGCGAGCGUUAAUCGGAAUUACUGGGCGUAAAGCGCACGUAGGCGGCUUGGUAUGUCGGGUGUGAAAUCCCCGGGCUCAACCUGGGAACUGCGUCCGAUACUGGAAGGCUUGAAUCCGGGAGAGGGAUGCGGAAUUCCAGGUGUAGCGGUGAAAUGCGUAGAUAUCUGGAGGAACACCGGUGGCGAAGGCGGCAUCCUGGACCGGCAUUGACGCUGAGGCGCGAAAGCCAGGGGAGCAAACGGG